CAUGGAGGGUGAGAAUCCCGUCCGGCUGACCUUCAGGACGUUUUACGAUACGCUCUCAAAGAGUCGAGUUGUUUGGGAUUGCAGCUCAAAGUGGGAGGUAAAUUUCUCCUAAGGCUAAAUACCGGCGAGAGACCGAUAGCGAACAAGUACCGUGAGGGAAAGAUGAAAAGAAUUUUGAAAAGAAAGUCAAACAGUACGUGAAAUUGUUGAAAGGGAAACGAUUGAAGCCAGUCAUAUCGACGGGAAUUCAACUUCUCGAGUGCUAAUCGUGGGUGACGUUGAGCCUCACGGCCUUCGUUGCUUGUGUUGUUGGUGCUUUUGGGGUGUACUUUUCCGUAUUGGUAGGUCAGCAUCGAUUUCGAUCGUCAUAAAAUGAUCGGGGGAAUGUAGCUUCGGUCUCGUAUCGGAGUGUUAUAGACCUUGGUAGAUGUGACGAUUGGGAUCGAGGAUUGCAACGAAUACCCUUUUGGGCUAUCCGUCUGUCCUCUGAAAGUCGCUCGGGUGUCGAAAGCGUGCUUAUGGCUAUUCGAGUUGGCGGUCAACAGGUUAGAACGUGAUUAUAUUCGUUAAGGAUGUUGACGUAAUGG
rnacentral:rRNA from 1 species